rnacentral:misc_RNA from 1 species
UAAUAAGUGUUUUAUGGCACUUUUUAAAUCAAUAUCACUUUGUCUUGAAUGUCAGUCGAUCUUAUCAUGGAGAUCGAUCAAAUUAACUUAUGCUUAACUGUAUUAAAAUAUAUGAAACAAUUCAAA